rnacentral:misc_RNA from 1 species
AGGUGAACCUGCGGAAGGAUCAUUACAGAGUUCAUGCCCUUCGGGGUAGACCUCCCACCCUUUGUAUACCUUGCCUUUGUUGCUUUGGCGGGCCGCCUUUUGGCCACCGGCUCCGGCUGGUGCGCGCCCGCCAGAGAACCCCAAACCCUGUCUUACAGUGUCGUCCGAGUACUAUAUAAUAGUUAAAACUUUCAACAACGGAUCUCUUGGUUCUGG